AGAAAGAGCUACACCGGAGACAACGCUUAUCGCCCAAGAGACUUAUCUGCAUGGAAGGAAAAUCUGCAGGUUGGCUAGGCAAGACCGUCUGUAUCAGUAAUUACAAAAUCUGUAUGGAGUCUCUUCCAGGACUGAAGACUUCUUUCCCCACAGGAGCCAGGGCCACUGUGUUGAUUGUGUAGGUUGUACCCUACACAGAAGGGCUCACUUUUGUGGCACCAUAUGCAGAGGGAGUGGAUGGAGGCUGAAGUCGAGCCCAUCCUUCCCUCACCAAACACUGUGUUAGUGGAGGCGGUGCCUUUUUGUAAGUCACACGAAGGUACCCUAUGAGCUAGCCACAAGCAGGCCAGUAACCCCUGCAUCACCAACACC